rnacentral:tRNA from 1 species
UCCCUGGUGGUCCAGAGGUUAAGACUCUGAGCUUCCAUUUCAGAGGGUACUGGUUUGAUCCCUGUUUGGGGAA